CGUCUCCGUGGCACUGACAUGGUGCUGACGUGGCAUUUUUCGUCAAUUUUAACACUUAUCUAACGGCUGUGACCUAAUUGUAAUGAAAUUAAGAGAUUAGGGAUUUGAUUGUAAAAAAAAUUGAUUGAAAAUCAGAUUGAAAAACGGUGUAAAGACUAGGGACCAUUGGUGUAAUUAAUCCAUUAACAACCAGAAGUAUUGGUUGUUAAAAAAGCAAAAGAAUAUAUAUUGUCAUAUUUUUUUUUUUUUUUUUGAGAGAUAGGUAGCACGCUACCCGCUUCGUUUAUUUCAUUCAGAAAUGAACUUAGCCAGAAAUGUGAAUCAAUUAGGAUUCGAAUUUGGGUCUCGGGUGCCAACCACCAAGCCCUUUGCCGCUUAUUUCAUUUUCAUCUUUACGUAUCCUUCGUAGCCUUUGGAUACAGCAAAAAUAGAAUCUCUCAAUUUAAGGUUUUAUUCGGCACUUAUCUGUCAUAUUAUAACUCAAAUUUAAGUAAAAAUUAUUAAUAAUAAUUAUAUAAUUUUAUUUUUUAUUUUAUAAAAUUUAUAUAUAGUGUAGAUAUAUAUUGAAUUUUUUUAUAUUUUUUUAUUCUAACAAAUUCAAAUUUAAAUAUAUAUUUUAAAUUAAAAAUAUCAAAAUUAAAAAUUUAAUAUAACAAUAAAAUAUUAGUAGAUAGAAUAGAGAUAAUAUAUAAAUAUUUAUCUUAAAAAAAGAUAUUGAAUGAUAAAAGUAUUUAAUAAAAAAUAAAAUAUUAAUGGCUGGAGAAAAAUGAGGAACUAAAAGUUUGUUUUGUUACGUUAUUUAUUUCGCGUACGAAUUUUUUUUUUUUUUGAAAUAGGUAUGUCGACAGGUCGAAAUUUGAAAUACGUAUUUUUAUAUAUAAUAAUAUAGAAUAUAGACAUCGAGUUGAGUUAGAAUACUUUUAAUAGUAUAUGGCCUCUUUUGCUAUCCUGUUUUUAGCCGUUAGAUCUAUUCUAAUUAUUUUUACUAUUGGAUUAAUAUUAUUUCACU
rnacentral:lncRNA from 1 species